GUUGGUGAUGAAGAACCCGGAAAUAUGCCAUCUUAGUCAUCUUUGUUCUUUGUUCCGCUACCCCUCCGUCCAGACAAUGACAAGACAUUUAAUAAGGUCAGCAGCCAUGGUGAUGGGGAAGGCGUUUAUUUGAGAGGCAGCUAAUAACAAUGAACGAUUAUGGAAAUAAGAGAAAAUUCAGAGGACUGAAGAUUGGCACAUGGUAGACAAUUUAGCAACAUAUGUCAAAUGCUUCAAAGAUGUGCAUCACCUGCAUCAAGUGUCAUACUAGUCAUGUGUCAUUUCCCUGAGGCAUGCAACUGAGGGGUCCUUGAUUAGUGCAUGGAAGCCCCUGCAUCCUAAACUUAACACGUGAUCCUGGUUAAAUGGAAGGCUUAAAGAACUUG